UUUAACAAUGUAGGUAAGGGAAGUUGGCAAAAAAGAUCCCUAACUUUGGGAUAAGGAUUGGAUCUAAGGGCUGGGUCGGUCGGGCUGGGGUGCGAAGCGGGGCUGGGCUCGAGCUGCGUCUGGGGGAGCAGUCGCCACCAUUGGAAGUUUGUUGUGCAGCCCAUCUCGUUGCGUCUCAUUCGUGGUCUCGCAAGGGGCUGCAUGCGGGGGUUCAUGGGGUGGUGUCCGUCAGCGGGCCGAAGGCGGACCGGUGGGAGGUUGGGUCCUGCGGUUGGCGGCGGCAACUCUGGACAUGCGCCGGGCCCUUCUCGCAGAUGUCCCCAGCUACGGCGCUCGCCGGCCCCACACAUUGUAGGGGGGAGGUCUCCUCUACGCUCACUAGACUUGAGGCGGAGACUAAACCCAUUGGCCCCUCAGUGAUAGGGCAUUGCAUGGAUCUGGUUCAUGCUCUACGAAGUGGGUAGAGGUAUCUCCAGCUUGUCUGGGGAGGGAGGCCUACAUCUGAUGUGGGUAGUACCAUCCACUCCAAUGGAUUUGCUGCGGAACCAUAAAACGGACAGAAGAAGCCUAGGUUCCCACUGGGCACUGAUCACUGAAUGUCAACUUGAUGAAAUUCAAAGGAGUGUACCCACCUGUCAAUUGGUAUUUGCGCUGGAAAUUGAUGUCAAUUGGGUGUAAAAACCCAGUUAAAGUCUGCUGAAGGUUAGUAGCGGCAACUGAUGUCCAGUUUGUAAGACAGAAAAGCCUCUGAUGAUACCACUGGCGUGACUCAAAUGGAUGUCAAUUUGAUGAUAUCUGAUUGUAGCAUGCUACCCUUCACGGUCGCACUCAAACCACCUUCGGGGUAGCUGUGACCCCCUCAUGUCAACGUGAGGAAAUUCAAUGAAGCGGGGGUAAACGGCAGGACAUAAUUAAGAGUCUCUUGAGGUAGCCAAAUGCCUCGUCAUCUAAUUAGUGACGCGCAUGAAUGGAUGAACGAGAUUCCCACUGUCCCUACCUACUAUCUAGCGAAACCACAGCCAAGGGAACGGGCUUGA
rnacentral:ncRNA from 1 species